rnacentral:rRNA from 1 species
CGGCGAGUGAAGCGGCAACAGCUCAAAUUUGAAAUCUGGCCCUCGGGUCCGAGUUGUAAUUUGUAGAGGAUGCUUUUGGCGAGGUGCCUUCCGAGUUCCCUGGAACGGGACGCCAUAGAGGGUGAGAGCCCCGUCUGGUCGGACACCGAGCCUCUGUAAAGCUCCUUCGACGAGUCGAGUAGUUUGGGAAUGCUGCUCAAAAUGGGAGGUAUAUGUCUUCUAAAGCUAAAUAUUGGCCAGAGACCGAUAGCGCACAAGUAGAGUGAUCGAAAGAUGAAAAGCACUUUGAAAAGAGGGUUAAAAAGUACGUGAAAUUGUUGAAAGGGAAGCGCCUAUGACCAGACUUGAGCCCGGUGAAUCAUCCAGCGUUCUCGCUGGUGCACUUUGCCGGGCCCAGGCCAGCAUCAGUUUGGCGCGGGGGAUAAAGGUGACGGGAAUGUGGCUCCCUCGGGAGUGUUAUAGCCCGCUACGUAAUACCCUGCGCCGGACUGAGGUACGCGCAUUGCAAGGAUGCUGGCGUAAUGGUCAUCAGCGACCCGUCUUGAAACACGGACCAAGGAGUCGUCUUCGUAUGCGAGUGUUCGGGUGUCAAACCCCUACGCGUAAUGAAAGUGAACGCAGGUGAGAGCUUCGGCGCAUCAUCGACCGAUCCUGAUGUUCUCGGAUGGAUUUGAGUAAGAGCAUACGGGGCCGGACCCGAAAGAAGGUGAACUAUGCCUGUAUAGGGUGAAGCCAGAGGAAACUCUGGUGGAGGCUCGCAGCGGUUCUGACGUGCGAAUCGAUCGUCAAAUAUGGGCAUGGGGGCGAAAGACUAAUCGAACCUUCUAGUAGCUGGUUUCCGCCGAAGUUUCCCUCAGGAUAGCAGUGUUGAACUCAGUUUUAUGAGGUAAAGCGAAUGAUUAGGGACUCGGGGGCGCUAUAUUGCCUUCAUCCAUUCUCAAACUUUAAAUAUGUAAGAAGCCCUUGUUACUUAAUUGAACGUGGGCAUUCGAAUGUAUCAACACUAGUGGGCCAUUUUUGGUAAGCAGAACUGGCGAUGCGGGAUGAACCGAACGCGAGGUUAAGGUGCCGGAGUGGACGCUCAUCAGACACCACAAAAGGUGUUAGUACAUCUUGACAGCAGGACGGUGGCCAUGGAAGUCGGAAUCCGCUAAGGACUGUGUAACAACUCACCUGCCGAAUGUACUAGCCCUGAAAAUGGAUGGCGCUCAAGCGUCCCACCCAUACCUCGCCCUCAGGGUAGAAACGAAGCCCUGAGGAGUAGGCGGACGUGGAGGUCA